CAACCACAGAGCUCAUGACAGUUACUGCAACACAUUCCUGUUCAAGUCAAAGAUUAUAAAACUAGAACCUUAAUACCUGAAAUGUGCAAUAUCUGAGUAAUUUAUAGUAUUCCCAUAAAAAUCCCAAAGGGAAAUCUCAGAAAAUUACAUUUACCAGUAAAUCUCAAAGCUAACUCAGUGCCUUCAAUAAAUGUCUAAAUGUCAUCUUCAUUUCCAUCGUAAAUGUCUAAAUCUCAUCCUCAUUUCUAUCAUUUACCAGUGAAGGACAUUUAUAAGCCCUGGGACACAAACAUCUGACAUUUCCGGCUGGGCCUCCUAAAAUCUCAAGAAUUGCAAAAAAUCAACAGAAAGUCACUACAAGCAAGCCUACUUCACAAGAGUGGAAAAGUGGACUAUGGAUCAGUUUGAUGCUUGGUCUGCUUGUAGCAAAUUUCACCAUCAUUCCUACAUAAGACAUGUCAAGAUGAGGAAAAAUGUAUUUCAGGUACCUGGGACUCCAAAACAGAACAUGCCAGCUUUUUCAAAUCCAGGGAAACUGUGUGUGUUGCACCCUCUUUCAAUGCUUUCAAAUAAACUUUGUAAAAAUAUUCA